rnacentral:rRNA from 1 species
UACGGGGGGGGGUAAGCGUUGUUCGGAAUUACUGGGCGUAAAGGGCUCGUAGGCGGUCUGUCACGUCGGGGAGUGAAAAACUCAGGGCUUAACCCUGAGCCUGCUUCCGAUACGGGCAGACUAGAGGUAUGCAGGGGGAGAAUGGAAUUCCUGGUGUAGCGGUGAAAUGCGCAGAUAUCAGGAGGAACACCGGUGGCGAAGGCGGAUCUCUGGGGCCUUUACCUGACGCUGAGGCGCGAAAAGCUAGGGGGGAGCGAAACAGGGAUUAGAAAACCCC